CAAACACCUCUCGUAUCGAUCCCCUCGAGGAGAAGCCGUCGCCCCCAUCUCUGGCUCCGCCGCUGCCGCCCCCCGCCUUCCCCUAUCUCCCUCUCAGCCACCUCCACCACCCCACGCUUCUCCCCAUCGCUGGAUCCGCUAUGAGAUCGCCAAGGUUAGGCGGCGGAGCUCCACGUCCGCGACGCGCUCGUGCUCGUCAAGGAAGGGGCUCCCGAUCGAAUCUGCGCUCACGCGGCUUGUGUGCCAUGGUCGACAAGAGGGGACCCUCGGCCUCGGCCAUGGCCGCCUGCUUUGGACACGGGGUUGCCACAUCCGACGCUGCCAGCGCCUCGUGGACCGCCAUCAGGAGCUCCAGGUCCACCGCUAUCGAACUCUACGACCAUGGUCACCACGUCCACGGUCGUGAUGGUCGGUUUGGUAGUCGUUUCGUUUCGUUCGUUCGUCUCAAUCGUUCCGUCCCACCCCUAUUCGCGCACGAUUGGAAGGAAUCGUCCCUCGCCUGCCGUUUCUAUUUUUCUCUCCACCAAAUCUGCCGUUUCCGAUUUUCUCUCCACCAAAUGAGUGAUGUAGUCGCCCUCGAUCGUCUUUCUCCUCUCCAAGGAUCCUCGAUAGCCUCUUCUUGCCACCAUCCUAUGGCAAGAUGUAAGCAUUGUGAUCUCUUCCCCGAAUUGGAUGAAAGUGUAUUUGUUGUGUACGUGUUCUACAGAAGGAAUAAAUCAUGCAAUGGAGUUUGUGUUCGAGGUUGCUGACACACAGGUAACAAAAGGUGGAAUCCCCUGUGUAACUUUGCAACAGAAUCCACAUACCCGCAAAAAAAACUUUGCAACAGAAUGUUCUACGUCCAAUGUUGCAAUCCUUCCCCAAGUGCAAGAUCCACAUAGACAGGUGGAUGCUUGCACCUUCUUCGCAUGCAGCUAUAGGUAACUACUUCUCUGAGUCUCCUUCCUACAUGUGGGCACUGUAUUUUCUAGGUUGAAAAAACUGCAGGAGUACGUGGUGAUUAUUGGUCAGGCCAACUCUACUACAUGGAAGGAAGUAAUUAUACAAAUCCAAACUAUGUUUGUAUAAAGAUCAUAUACUAUUAUCAAUACUGAUUGAGUUCAUCAUUUAGUCCGUGCAACUUCAAUUCCAUUAUGGCCAUCACUAUGAGAAGUUACACCUAUGCAAGUUGUAUUAGUAAACAUCGCAAAUCAUGACUAUUGUUUUGGAAAUUGACAUCACAGUAGUAUGCAACUCAUCUCGUGAUCCUGUGUUAUGGGGGCAGAACCCAUUUCAAUUGGUAGCAUGCCAACACAUUUGAUGGUUUCUGUUCAAUGUUAAAUCAUAACGAUUAGUGUCUUUUAAGAUGUGUUUUCACUGCAGAAGCUUAACCAUUGCAGUUUCCUGUUCUUGAUAGACAAUUUUGUUAAGUAAUUUUUUCAAUAUGUAGCCCUCACUUGUUAGCUGGAUGGUUCAACACAUGCAUAUAUGCCUUGGCCUGCGAUCAAGUUCCAGAGUUUUGAAAAGAAAAUGAAGUUUCAAAGUUACUUUCUAAAUGUCUGAUGCAUCUCAAACUCUGCUGCUUUGCUGCUGAAUGAUGAAGAGGACAAGGAAAGGGUGGAGGAGCUCAAAGGAAACCAAAGGGGGGGUGGUGGAAUUUGGAAUAAACGAGGAGAGGAAGGGAGGUCACAGCCUCCAAGCCAACAGCAAAUAAGUCAUCACCCUUACUAUGCAAUGCCAGUAAAUAUAUCGACUUCCUUUCUUUAGGAGCAGCUUGACUGAAACCAGUAAAUCUAUUUUACUCCAUAUUGCUGCAGUUUUAUUACCAGUCCAUAUACACCUUUUUUGAUAUUGUUAAAAUCAACAUCUGUUGAGAUAUGAAAUAUCUUACUACUGAUAAAAAACAUGUUGAAACUCAAGUAGAAGUAAGCAGCUUUUUGAAGGAGACAUGCCUCCUGUGUUGUGAAGAGCGUAGAACAAGUAUAUACAUCACCAUUAAUGUUUUAUUUACUUCCGGUUAUAACGCUUCAGCUCAUGUUUUGCGAAUUUGUGAUUCUUCUUAUAAUGUUGUAUGUGAAAAGAACAGAUGUACACUUAGUUUGCAGGACUGAUGAUGAAAAUGUAAAAUGGUAGUAAAAUCAGUGUUCGACUUUGUACACCCUAAAUAUUUGUCAAAAGAAUCUUGGUCGUUUGCUCUUUCUUAUUGAAGAUUAUUUGUGCACAGAUUAAUAGUAAGAUGUGACUGGGUUUUUGCCUCGUUGUGAAAUGCAUGCUGAUGUAUCUUUUUUAUAUAUGUAUCUCUUCUCUAUAGAAACAUAAUGUCAACUUACAUAUUCAGGGUUUCUGUUUGGCCUCCUGCUCGGUAGACUAAUUUAACCUGUCAUUUUUUCGUUUAUUUUUCAAAAUUGCUUCUGUUCACAUGAUCAUGAACAUACAAGCUGUAUAUGUAUUUUUUAAUCUUGUGUUUUUUGUCCUCAUUUUUUAUGCCUUCUACAGGUGCGUUGCUAACAAAAUUUUGUCGUACACGCUCCAGAAUGGUCUGGGGAGGUUCGCAACAGUGUCUACUCAUCUGAUCGGAAAUCUAUAUAUGUUGUCUAUCGUGUGACUAUGGAAUUGAUGCGGAGGCACCCUUCUUUGCCUUUUGUAGGUCCCACUAUUUGAUUAGUGGACACAACUGAUGGGGGCAUGGAGAUGAUGGCAAGGCAUCGCGCUGCAGUGGCAGUGAGGAGGCCAUCGAUGAAGGUGGUGAUGACAAAAGCUGUCUACAAAAGUGGUGCAGGGAUGGGGGAUUUGGGGUGGCGAGGGAUGGGAAGGUGGAUAAUGACCAUCGGAGGAGAUGGAGUAGUGGCGAGAUUAGACGAGGUCGCCUGCGGAGUGCGUGGGCAAAAUUUCCUUUCUGGGUUGGCCGGGGGCUUCCUUGUGUUUGUGUGCAUGCAUGAGUGGGCCUUAUUUCCAGCAUCAAUGGUGAACAUGCAUGGGCCAAACCAUUUUGUUUUGCAGAAGGGGAGGGGAGAAAACAAAAAAAAUCAGAGGGGGGAGGGGGAAGCGUACGUGGUGGGAGGGGUGGAAACCCUGGAAGCUGGGCUGGAAGGAUCAGGCUGUCAUGAAGUGAAGUUUAUUUGUUUAUAGUCAAGUGUAUAUUGUAUUAUUGUUCAUAUAUUUGUUGAAUUUGAGACGCGCAUUUGUGCGUGCAAGGUUUUUAUAUCUUGAAAUUAUGAA